rnacentral:rRNA from 1 species
AUUGAACGCUGGCGGCAUGCCUUACACAUGCAAGUCGAACGGUAACAGGUCUUCGGAUGCUGACGAGUGGCGAACGGGUGAGUAAUACAUCGGAACGUGCCUAGUAGUGGGGGAUAACUACUCGAAAGAGUGGCUAAUACCGCAUGAGAUCUACGGAUGAAAGCAGGGGAUCGCAAGACCUCGUGCUACUAGAGCGGCCGAUGGCAGAUUAGGUAGUUGGUGGGAUAAAAGCUUACCAAGCCGACGAUCUGUAGCUGGUCUGAGAGGACGAUCAGCCACACUGGGACUGAGACACGGCCCAGACUCCUACGGGAGGCAGCAGUGGGGAAUUUUGGACAAUGGGCGAAAGCCUGAUCCAGCAAUGCCGCGUGCAGGAUGAAGGCCUUCGGGUUGUAAACUGCUUUUGUACGGAACGAAAAGCUCUGGGUUAAUACCCUGGGGUCAUGACGGUACCGUAAGAAUAAGCACCGGCUAACUACGUGCCAGCAGCCGCCGCCGUAA